rnacentral:rRNA from 2 species
UAGCGAUAGGCUUAACACAUGCAAGUCGAGGGGCAGCAUGGUCUUAGCUUGCUAAGACUGAUGGCGACCGGCGCACGGGUGCGUAACGCGUAUGCAACUUGCCUCACAGAGGGGGAUAACCCGUCGAAAGACGGACUAAUACCGCGUACACUCUAUGUUGGGCAUCCAAUGUAGAGGAAAUGAACUUCGCUGUGAGAUAGGCAUGCGUCCCAUUAGCUAGUUGGUGAGGUAACGGCUCACCAAGGCGACGAUGGGUAGGGGAACUGAGAGGUUGAACCCCCACACUGGUACUGAGACACGGACCAGACUCCUACGGGAGGCAGCAGUGAGGAAUAUUGGUCAAUGGGCGAGAGCCUGAACCAGCCAAGUCGCGUGAAGGAUGACUGUCUUAUGGUUGUAAACUUCUUUUAUACGGGAAUAACAAGAGCCACGUGU